rnacentral:rRNA from 1 species
AUGCUGACGGGGACGCUCAUGGCGGCUUCAACCCCAACAUCACCUUCCCCCAUGGGGCGCCCCGUCCAACGCACACCCUCACCAGGGUUCACCAGCGUGCAGUACCCGCCAUACACGUACUCGCCGCCGGACUACGCAGCCUCACUGACGCCGCCUGUCCGUCGAGGCCUCUACUCACAAGCCUCUUCCUCGUCACAUCUCGGCGGCGCCGACGCGACGGAGGCCGACAUGAAGGACAUCAUCGCAGCCGGCUCGGCUGCGGCAGGCGCUUCCCCCGGGUUCGCUACGCAGGACCUCGCCGACAUGGACGACGAGCUCGACUACGGCGAGGAAGAGCCGGAGGAGGAGGAGGAAGAGGAGGAGGAGCCGGCGCCGACGAGGAAAAUCAAGAAUAAUAAGAAGAAGAAGGCGGCCAAGCCCGGCGAGCCACGCAUCAAAUGGGCAUCCAAGGAAGAAGAGUGCCUCGCCGUAGCGUGGAAGGUCGUCUGCCUCGACCCGGCCACCGGCACGAAUCAGAUCAUCGAGACGUAUUGGGACCACAUCAAGGCCGAGUUCGAUGAGCGGAAGCUCAUCGACCCCUACUUCAAAGGCAUGCACAUGAAGUUUGAAGGGUAUGUCGAACCAUUGGUCGCUCAUCCAAACGGCGUGCAACAAAUGGCAUGGGAUAGUCGAGGAAGUCGCGGCUCACCCGGAGAGCGGCACCAGCGUCGAGGAUCAGCUGCUGCGCAUGUUUGCCAUGUUCCGCGACGACAACAGCGACGCAGACUUCAAGUACCUCCACGUCUUCAAGCGGAUCGACAAGUGCGAGAAAUGGGCGGCCGUUCGGCGCACCCUCGCCAAGGCCAAAGAGACGUACAAGCCGGACGCGCCGACAGCGGGCGCGACCGAUGGACGCCCGGACGACAACAAAGGUGUCAAGAAGGCGAAAUACGCCGAGACAGCUGUCGUGCGCGUGCAAGAGUCCAUCGAGCACUGCAUCGCCGACGCAAAAACCAGGGCCGCCGAGCGGGAGGAGAAAACAGAGGCGAGGUGGGCAGUUUUGAUGACGAACAGCGCCGUCAAACUCGACUUGCUCCGCGCCAACGCCGCCGCGAAACUCAAAGCCCAAGACGCCAAGAAGAGAAACAACGACCUCGCCUUCUUGAUGGGCGGCGCUGA